rnacentral:rRNA from 1 species
UACGUAGGAGGCGAGCGUUGUCCGGAAUUACUGGGCGUAAAGAGCGCGUAGGCGGUCUGUCGCGUCGGCUGUGAAAACCCGGAGCUCAACUCCGGGCCUGCAGUCGAUACGGGCAGACUGGAGUUCGGCAGGGGAGACUGGAAUUCCUGGUGUAGCGGUGAAAUGCGCAGAUAUCAGGAGGAACACCGGUGGCGAAGGCGGGUCUCUGGGCCGAUACUGACGCUGAGGAGCGAAAGCGUGGGGAGCGAACAGG